UGUUGGCAUGCGAGGUCGACGUGGCAAAGAUUAUUUAGAGGUCAUGAUCCACUUGAGCCACUUACACUAAUGCUGUAGUUUUGGUCCGGACUGCCUCAUAGCUAGUGACAUUGUAUACAACACCGUGUGUUACCCACUACUGCUUGGGACUUGAACAUGAGGAGAUACGAUAGAUGGCACGGGUUGGGCCUGAUGACGUCAUGCAAGAUAGUGGCCUCAUUGUGGCUUAUCAUGAUCUGCUUGGUGGCCGCUGAGGAUGUCACUACUCCGCUAUAUGCAGACUCAUCGGAGGAGACAAGUCCAGAAUUCCUUUCACCCGAACCCAUCUUAUCCAGUGAUUCUGCCUUCAAGAAUGGCGAUCAGCCUGUCAACACCAUGUAUUUAGCGGGCACUCCCGGGAUCCUUCACUGCGAGAUAGACAUGGAACUAGAAGACAAUGUGGCCUGGGUGUACAAGAAUCCAAAAUCUGCCUACCCGUCCUUACUGACAUUCGGAAAGUUCUCGGUUAGCAACGACAGGAGAAUUUCCUUGAGCUUCCAAGAUCCGUGGAAUUUCCGCCUGAUGAUCUCCUACAUCAAGCGCAGAGACCAAGGCCUCUACGAAUGUCAAGUGUCCACUACUGAAGCACCCAGCACCCCAAAGAAAGUCAUGCAGGUCUUUCUAAAAGUACUGGAUCCAGAAGUAAUAAUCAAAGACAAGAACAGCCAAAUGGUGUCAGAAUGUGAGUACAAAGCGGGGAGUAAUGUGGAGUUUACAUGUGUGGCAUCGCACCUAGACUUGUCAGAUGAGAAUAUCACAUGGUGGAAGGAGGGGCUACUCGUACAAGAAGGUGUCAGAUACAAGUCCGAAAGUGGGUCUCGUACUAUAGAGUCCACCCUAGUGUUGCAUCACGCCCAGCCGCUUGACUCGGGAAAUUACACCUGUAGCGUGGACAACCUGGCUUCAGCCUCCGUCUUCGUGAACAUACUGAACACGCCAGAAGUUAUUAUCAAAGACCAGAGGAACCGCGUGGUGACAGAACGCUACUAUAUGGUGGGGAGUGCGGUGGAACUGACAUGCCUCGCCUCCCAAGUGGAGACACCGCGAGAGAACAUCACUUGGUGGAGGGGGGAAGUGCCCAUACUGGAAGGUGUCAGUUCUAUUGAAGCAUUUCGGAUACUGUUAUCAGUUACAUUUCCAAUGUUGAGCAUGGGAGUAUAGAGUCUACCCUAAUGCUACAUAACGCCCAGCGGCAUCACUCGGGAAACUACACUUGUCGCUUGAACAAUCUGACCUCAGCUUCCGUCCCCGUGCACGUACUCUCUGACCUACAAAGAGUUUACUACUACGUCUCCAGACCAAGCAUCAUUUCCACACACACGCCAUGAGAUGUCUACUCUACCUCAACGUUACCCCAGAGAGGUGUUCCAGCAGUUUACUCUACAGUCUAGAUAUCUUACUUGAAUGAUGUCUAUAACUAUCGACUGAUAUCUUCCAAUUCUCAUCUCACUACCAAAUCUAAAUAAUUCCUCCCUCUGCAGAAGUUUAGUUACGGCCCAUCAUCCACCUAUAGGAUAUGUUAGGUAACAACGCUUAUAGCAAAUACAGGUGAGCUAAUAUCAGUAUCAGGUCUUUCCUGAACUGGUUCUGCCCGACUGCUUCGAACUCUGCGGUGUUUUAGACAAUAAAACAUCGUAUAUCACAGAUUUGGUGAUUAAAACCCCGCGCAAAAUUAGAUUACGAAGAUGUGGUUCAUUAUAUAGCAUUAAACGUUAAAGUUUCACUAAUUCGUCAAAUCCAGUCUUCAGUACACAAAGCAUUAGAGGAAUUUUGAAUGAUCAGUGAGUCUCUAUCAGAUAGAUAAUAAAAGCAGAAUUAUUUUAUACAGUAAAAUGCUGAAAAUUAACUUUCAAGCUCAUCCUAACUGUCUAGAAUUAAUUUUUCAAACUGUGGCACACAUUCUUGUACGUAAAAUAAAUUCAAUUUUGUUGCCUUCAGGUCCAAUUAACAUUUUUAGAAUCUUUCAGCUCUAAAUCAUAUAUAUAUA